rnacentral:lncRNA from 1 species
UGGAGACCAGGCAGCGAGGAUGUCCAUCCCUGGGGCGGUGAUGUCAGGCUGGUAGUAAGUAGUAUCAAUGAAUAAAUGAAACAUAGCAUAUGUUGGACUACUGAAUACAAAAUUGUGCUAUGAAUAGAGACACAUAAUGCAUCACUUUGAGAAUGUCUGCAGAGAUGGGGUUUGGUCCUCUUGAAGAGAAAGAAGCCACAAUUGGAGCCGAGAUGUCCUUAAAGCUGGUUUCAGCAACCAUGAUACUUGCAACUGGACUUCUGCAUGCAUUUUAAGUAAUGUUUGGAUCCAAGAUCAGAAUUUAAGUCAAGAUGGUAUUUAGAAAAUAUAGAAGUAUGCUAAUUUCGUACUCUCUGUUUUUGAUAUAAUCCAAAACUUCGACACCAUCUUCUGCGCUGAUCGCUAAAGCUGGAAAUGGGUAAUUGUAGGCAACGUCAUAUCCUGUGGAAUGCGCGAUGAUGGUACCCAGCAGUAGGAACCAGAAUGUUAGUAGUUGAAGGGGGAACACUGCAGAAGACAAUC